rnacentral:ncRNA from 1 species
UACUUGGUUGAUCCUGCCAAGGAAGCACACUUAGGUCAUAGAUUAAGCCAUGCAAGUGUUAGUUCAGGUAACGAAACUGCGAAUAGCUCAUUAAUACGCUCAGAAUCUAUUUGGCGGCGACCAACAGGUCUUAAAUGGAUAGCAGCAGCAACUCUGGUGCUAAUACAUGCGAUUGUUUCUCCAGAUGUGAAUUAUGGAGGAAAAGUUGACCUCAUCAGAGGCACGCCAUUCGACUGAGUGACCUAUCAGCUUGUACUUAGGGUCUUUACCUAGGUAGGCUAUCACGGGUAACGGGCGGUUACCGUCGGACUGCCGGAGAAGGCGCCUGAGAGAUAGCGACUAUAUCCACGGGUAGCAGCAGGCGCGAAACUUUCCCACUCGAGACUUUCGGAGGAGGUAAUGACCAGUUCCAUUGGUGCCUUUUGGUACUGUGGAUAGGGGUACGGUUUUCCACCGUACCGAAACCUAGCAGAGGGCCAGUCUGGUGCCAGCAGCUGCGGUAAUUCCAGCUCUGCGAGUUGCUCCCAUAUUGUAGCAGUUAAAACGCCCGU